CUUCAGUCAAAAAAGAUAUUUCCAUUUGCAGUAAUUCAUAUUUAUGUUAUGGUUCAGUUGUGGGACUGUCCCAUAGUUCAUGCACACAUGUGGAAAGCAUGAGGCCCCCUCCCUGUGCAUACAUUUAAAGCAAAAGGCUGAUUGCUUUUUAAGUAAGACACAGCAUGUAAAGGAAAAGCUCGGAUGAAGUUGGGUUGCAAAGCAGCCUACAGAUUGCCAGCAACUGAGUAAACAAUCAAAGUGAGCUGGCACUGACAUCAGCUGAUCUGCUGAGUUCGACUGAAGCCUGUUCAAGCCAAUGUUAUGCACAGCUUUUGUAAUUUUCUCUUACACUCUUUGUUUUCCAUCUUACAGAGACAACAACAUCGACAACUACCACAAAAAAGCCAUUGGCUCCUACGGCCCCCAGACUCCCAACUCGACCACAAAAAACAAAAAGGAUGAGGAAGAAUCGCAGACGGAUUAGUAAAGCAGCCAUGAGAGCAAUGCUGAUGUAGAACUAAAAGAAACCCAGGGACACAAAGAGAACAUGGUGCAUUUUGUGGAUAACCCAGAGAAGACCCAAAUGGACUCCCUUUGUACAAGUAUUUAUUCAUUUGUCAGUAACCUGCUCGUCCUGUGAGAUCUCAGUAACACUACUAAUGACUGUCUGGUGAACCUCUACCUAUACUGGGAGUAACAGAGGAGGGGGAAACAAGAAAAUGGAGUGUAAAGAAAAGGUGGACCUUCUCCAGAGAAUGCUUGCUUCUUUGACAGUUGAUGGUAUGAAGCAACAAGUGGCACCCAAAGACUGAUGAACUGUGUGCAAGCACUGUGCCUGUGGGGAAAUGAAACUGCAUUGCUGUAGAACUGUAUAAAAUAGUGCAAUUUCAAAAGUUUCCUUGGAACCUUGUCUUGAUAUCAGCAGACAGAAACUGCACUUAAAUGUUGACAGAACCAAGUGUAUAAGGAGUUUGUUGCUGAAAGCCUGGAUUGUUUGAUAACCACAGUCAGAUUAGAAUAAGGAGUAUAUCUGGUGUAAAAAUUAACCAAAAAAAGCCUAACUUAGCUGUUUUUCUAAUUGGAUAAUAUAAUAACAGAGAUUAUUAUAUCGUCAACACACUGCAGGAGCAGAAGAAUUUCCAUGUGUGAUAUCAAUUAUUAGCUCAUUAAAAAUGAUGGUCUCUCUCAAACCGUAUUUAAUUUUAUGUAACUCAUUGCAAACACUGGAAUUACACUUAUAUGGGUAUAGAAAAAAUAUAGUUUUGCAUUAAUGAGGUUUCCUUGUCUCAAAGUAUUGUCACGGGUGAAACAAGAAUUGGCUUGUGACCUGACUGUGUGCUGUGUUUCUUAUUUAUUUGUUGCUACUGUUACUACUCUCUAUAAAAAAUACUGCAAACAACAUGUGGCUGAGAUAGAGUCUGAAAAAAAAGAUUCAUUGUGUCAUAAUAACUGUGAGGUUUAAACAAAGGGACAGAACAUAAAAAAACUAAUCCUGUCAGUUUACCCCAGUAUCCUGUUCAGCUUCAGUGUCAAAUAGUGCGUGCAUGUUUGUUUUGUAUGCCUGUGUGGUUCAGUAUGUGUUUCUGCUCACAUCUAUAUUCUUUAUUUGAGUUUUUUUCCUUUCAUACAGAAAUGUCUCUCCCCCACCAGAUAUGUUUUGGUGCAAGCAGUCACAUUCAUUUUAAAGUCCUAACCCCAGAGUGUAUUUCUGUAGGGAGCCUACAACACAUUAUAUUUGAUUUCAUUUACAGGCAACUAAAAGAGUGAAAACCAGUAACUCAAGGGUUAGCUAUUAAAACAAGAAAACUAAGAUAAACUUUACAAAUGUUGUUGUUUUUAUGACCUUUCUGUUUCCCUUAAUAACAGCAUGUAGAAACACACUGAUGCUAUUUUGUGUCUGAUAAUUUAGAGUCAGAACAUUUUAAGUUAUUGAAAAAAGGCUUGUAUGUAUGUUCCUUAUACCAUCUGACAACUGUUACUUUUAAAAAAAAAUGUGUUUUCUUACCUGAUCUGGUGAAAAAAAGAGAAUGUUUGUGAUAACUUUGCCACAUAAUGCUAUUUUCAUAUGGGUAUAAGAAGCUAAUGUGCUUGAAACUUCUUUGUAUGUGUUUUUAUUCCCUUUCAUUAAUUCAAGGCAGUUAAGCCCAGUGCUACAUGCUUAAAUGAUCGUGUUUCCUCCAAAUACUAAGCGGGUACCAUUUCUUUUCAUCAUGUUUAGCAUCUUAAUUUAGCAUAUCAGCACAUGAAAUUACUAAAAAUUACUAAACCGUAGACUACUUGCUAUAAUGUCACUUUGACCUUUCAUUUUAUGGCCAUCACCAUUUUGGCCCUUUGGAG
ensembl:lncRNA